rnacentral:misc_RNA from 1 species
GAUGAAGAACGUAGCGAAAUGCUAUAAGUAAUGUGAAUUGCAGAAUUCAGUGAAUCAUCGAAUCUUUGAACGCACAUUGCGCCCCCUGGUAUUCCGGGGGGCAUGCCUGUUCGAGCGUCAUUUCACCACUCAAGCCUCGCUUGGUAUUGGGCAACGCGGUCCGCCGCGUGCCUCAAAUCGACCGGCUGGGUCUUCUGUCCCCUAAGCGUUGUGGAAACUAUUCGCUAAAGGGUGUUCGGGAGGCUACGCCGUAAAACAACCCCAUUUCUAAGGUUGACCUCGGAUCAGGUAGGGAUACCCGCUGAACUUAAGCAUAUCAAUAAGCGGAGGA